AAAAAAAAAAAUCACAGUGAGUUUUUGAAAAUUGUCUCCUGUAAAUUACUGUGCCCUCAGGUCAUUGCCAUUUUUUAUUUCUUCAGCCAUUUUGUUGUUCAAUAAAACCUUCCGUAGUGAUUGAACAACACAGAUACCAGGACAAAAAGUUGGUUUUAUAAUUUUAUUUUGACAAUAGUUUAGUGGAAAAGAAAAAUUGAAAUAAUGGAUAUAACUUAGGUUAUGGAUUAUCUUUGGGUUUUAGUUACCCGUAUUCUUUACACUCAUUCAAAGGGAAUUUAAGGGCAAUGCUCAGAAACUUUGUUGGGGUGAUGGUGGCAUGGAUGGAUGAUGUUAGGAAAGCAGAUAUGACUUGAAAGAUUAGAUUCAUUAUGUAAAAUUGUAUUUGUUUUUUUCUAUGGCUGGUAGCAUUAUUUGACCAGGCUCUGAAAAAUUUAUGUACUUUCUUUGUAGUAUUUAAUAUACCCUAUGUUUUUAGGGUCGGGAACUUCUGGCUUCUGCUCCAACUGGAUCUGGAAAAACAUUAGCUUUUAGCAUUCCUAUUUUAAUGCAGCUGAAACAACCCGCAAAUAAAGGCUUCAGAGCCCUGAUUAUAUCACCAACACGAGAACUUGCCAGCCAGGUAAUAAAAAGAUCUUAAAAAGCAAGGCCCACGUCUUCUGUCAUGGUCAAGUAUCCUCUACACAGCACAGUGCUCCGGAUCUUACUGCAUGUGGG
rnacentral:lncRNA from 1 species